rnacentral:rRNA from 1 species
UGGCUCAGAUGAAACGCUGGCGGCAUGCCUUACACAUGCAAGUCGAACGGCAGCACGGGAGCAAUCCUGGUGGCGAGUGGCGAACGGGUGAGUAACAUAUCGGAACGUACCCAGUGGUGGGGGAUAGCCCGGCGAAAGCCGGAUUAAUACCGCAUACGACCCAAGGGUGAAAGCAGGGGAUCGCAAGACCUUGCGCCAUUGGAGCGGCCGAUAUCAGAUUAGCUUGUUGGUGGGGUAAAGGCCCACCAAGGCGGCGAUCUGUAGCUGGUCUGAGAGGACGACCAGCCACACUGGGACUGAGACACGGCCCAGACUCCUACGGGAGGCAGCAGUGGGGAAUUUUGGACAAUGGGCGCAAGCCUGAUCCAGCCAUGCCGCGUGCGGGAAGAAGGCCUUCGGGUUGUAAACCGCUUUUGUCAGGGAAGAAACGGUCUGCGUUAAUACCGCAAACUAAUGACGGUACCUGAAGAAUAAGCACCGGCUAACUACGUGCCAGCAGCCGCGGUAAUACGUAGGGUGCAAGCGUUAAUCGGAAUUACUGGGCGUAAAGCGUGCGCAGGCGGUUGUGCAAGACAGAUGUGAAAUCCCCGGGCUCAACCUGGGAACUGCAUUUGUGACUGCACGACUUGAGUACGGUAGAGGGGGAUGGAAUUCCGCGUGUAGCAGUGAAAUGCGUAGAUAUGCGGAGGAACACCGAUGGCGAAGGCAAUCCCCUGGACCUGUACUGACGCUCAUGCACGAAAGCGUGGGGAGCAAACAGGAUUUGAUACCCUGGUAGUCCACGCCCUAAACGAUGUCAACUGGUUGUUGGGAGGGUUUCUUCUCAGUAACGAAGCUAACGCGUGAAGUUGACCGCCUGGGG